GAUGAACGCUAGCUACAGGCUUAACACAUGCAAGUCGAGGGGAAACGCCAUUGAAGCUUGCUUCGAUGGUCGUCGACCGGCGCACGGGUGAGUAACGCGUAUCCAACCUGCCUCUGACCAAGGGAUAACCCGUCGAAAGUCGGCCUAAUACCUUAUGCAGUCGUCGGAAGUCAUCUGAUGACGACGAAAGAUUUCAUCGGUGAGAGAUGGGGAUGCGUCUGAUUAGCUUGUUGGCGGGGUAACGGCCCACCAAGGCAACGAUCAGUAGGGGUUCUGAGAGGAAGGUCCCCCACAUUGGAACUGAGACACGGUCCAAACGCCUACGGGAGGCAGCAGUGAGGAAUAUUGGUCAAUGGGCGAGAGCCUGAACCAGCCAAGUAGCGUGCAGGAUGACGGCCCUAUGGGUUGUAAACUGCUUUUAUGCGGGGAUAAAGUGAGGGACGUGUCCUUCAUUGCAGGUACCGCAUGAAUAAGGACCGGCUAAUUCCGUG
rnacentral:rRNA from 1 species